ACCAUCAGGUUAGCUGUGAGAAGGAGCUGCUCAAGUCAGUGCCACUUUGUCUGACAGCUGACUACCCUUGGGACGUUACUUUUUGCCUUUCAUUGUAUACAUUUUUGGUACACAAUGCCUGCAAAGAAGAAACAGUUUCCCAAGAACAUAAGCCACAAGAGGAAAAGGAACAUAGAAGCAAUGAUAAGGUCUAGAGCAGCAGCUGCUGUGGGUAGUGACGCCGCCACGAUGCUCGUACCACCACCCUCCUCUCAAGACCUAUCCUUGAGUUGAGGAUAUGAGGAAUUCUAUCAUGGCAAGCUUCUUCCAUUGUUCCUCAACUGAUGAAAAACCUCAGCAUCACCUUUGCCCAACAGGUGAUAAAUCCUGGUGUUUCUACCAGAAUGCAGCAGCAGCAGACCUUCCUCCACUAUCUCACACCAAGAUGAAAGUGCAUUUCCAACUGGAACCUGCAUACAUGGAGGAGGUGCAUAAUGUCUACAAAGACCUAACAUCAGAUGAAAUGAUGCAGCGUUGUAUAAAAGGCAGAACGCAAAACUGUAAUGAAAGUCUGCAUCACCGCAUAUGGUGUUACAGCAAUAAAGCCAAAUAUCAAACCAAGAGGCAUGCUGAUUUCGCAGUCAGCCAUGCUGUUGCUGACUACAAUAGUGGAUAUGUGAGGAGCUGUCUGGACACAGCACUGGGCUACAGACGUUCAGCAGUGACUCAAAAACAACUUGAAUUAAUGGAGAAGAACAUGAAGGAACAACGGAAGCGAAGAGGAAAGAAGAGGAAAAGGGAGCUGGACACGUCCUACGAGCCUGGGGGACAUUAGAUAAUCAUGUGUCCACCUACAUCCAGUCAUAGAUUGAUUGGGAUGGAUUUUUAUGAUUGGCCGGCCACCAGAGAACUUCAGGACAAAGGGAUCUUCAUGGAACUUCAGGAAUAAUGUCUAUAUAACCAGUUCUACUCUCAAUAAACGUAUAAAGGCA